UUCAAUUACACAUACUAAACAUAUGCUCUUACAAUCCUAGGACUCCAGUCGUCAGACAACAGAAACAACGACAGAGAAUUGGCCUGAUGUAUAUAUGCACCAUAUGCGACCCAUUUAUUUGCUUUGUAGAUAUAACUUUUCUCUACCACUGUACCUAUAUAUUGACCCUUAAUUACAGUACGGUGGGAAGCAUCCUCCUCCUGGACUUCU
rnacentral:lncRNA from 1 species